rnacentral:miRNA from 1 species
GAUAAGUGAGGGACCAAAAGAGC